UGAAUUUUGUUUUGUUACAUCGGCGCGAUAACGACGAGCACACAUUCCACACUUUCAGCUUGUGUUAUUCUUUGUUAUUCGUUCGGUAAAUCGCGUUUUAUUUCCUGAUCGCCGGUGAUAAUUAGUGUUAAUAAACAUGCUUGAUCUAUUGGCAGUUAUUUAUCGCGUGUGUAAUCCUCGUAAUUCUAAAUUUUGCGUGUUUAAUUUAUUCAUGUGUUUGUGAAUCCGUUGCCGUCGGCCGACGCACGGCCAUGUUUUGUGAACGCCAAUAGUUAAUUGACUUGUGAAAAACGUCUUCAUCAUCAACCGAUGAUCAUGGGCUAAUAUGCUACCUGUAUCUAUCAAUAAGCUGUCAAUUUACCGGGUUCGAUAGACCGAUUUUAUCUGUCCAAGACGAAACUUCAAAAUUUCCAGGAGAAUUUCGUGAUUUUCCAUUCCGGUUGUGGCGUCAGUCUUGACGUCGAAUGAUAUUUGUAGUUUUAAAAUGUUUUUUUGUUUUCACAUUAAAUUUUUCAUUUGCAACACCUUG